AGAGUUUGAUCAUGGCUCAGAUUGAACGCUGGCGGCAUGCCUAACACAUGCAAGUCGAACGGGUUGUAGCAAUACAACUAGUGGCGGACGGGUGAGGAAUACAUAGGAAUUUGCCUUUAGGUGGGGGAUAGUCCGGGGAAACUCGGUUUAAUACCGCAUGAUGUCGAAAGACCAAAGCAGGGGAUCGUAAGACCUUGCGCCUUUAGAGAAGCCUAUGUCGGAUUAGCUAGUUGGUAGGGUAAUGGCCUACCAAGGCGACGAUCCGUAACUGGUCUGAGAGGACGAUCAGUCACACCGGAACUGAGACACGGUCCGGACUCCUACGGGAGGCAGCAGUGGGGAAUAUUGGACAAUGGGCGAAAGCCUGAUCCAGCAAUGCCGCGUGUGUGAAGAAGGCCUUCGGGUUGUAAAGCACUUUAGGCUGGGAAGAAAAAGCUUCACCUAAUACGUGAAGCCUUGACGGUACCAGCGGAAUAAGCACCGGCUAACUCUGUGCCAGCAGCCGCGGUAAUACAGAGGGUGCUAGCGUUAAUCGGAUUUACUGGGCGUAAAGCGUGUGUAGGCGGUUCGUUAAGUCGGAUGUGAAAGCCCUGGGCUCAACCUAGGAAUUGCAUUCGAUACUGGCGGGCUAGAGUACGGUAGAGGGCGGCGGAAUUCCGGGUGUAGCGGUGAAAUGCGUAGAUAUCCGGAGGAACACCGAUGGCGAAGGCAACCGCCUGGGCCUGUACUGACGCUGAGACACGAAAGCGUGGGGAGCAAACAGGAUUAGAUACCCUGGUAGUCC
rnacentral:rRNA from 1 species